rnacentral:rRNA from 1 species
UCUGUCCUACGGGGCGCAGCAGUGAGGAAUAUUGGUCAAUGGGCGGGAGCCUGAACCAGCCAAGUCGCGUGAGGGAAGACGGUCCUAUGGAUUGUAAACCUCUUUAGGCGGGGAGCAAUGCCGGGCACGCGUGCCCGGAGGGAGAGUACCCGCAGAAAAAGCAUCGGCUAACUCCGUGCCAGCAGCCGCGGUAAUACGGAGGAUGCGAGCGUUAUCCGGAUUUAUUGGGUUUAAAGGGUGCGUAGGCGGGACCUUAAGUCAGCGGUAAAAUUGCGGUGCUCAACGCCGUAGAGCCGUUGAAACUG